rnacentral:rRNA from 1 species
UACGUAGGGAGCAAGCGUUGUCCGGAAUCACUGGGCGUAAAGGGCGCGUAGGCGGCAGGCCGAGCGUGCGGUGAAAGUCCGGGGCUCAACCCCGGAUCUGCCGUGCGGACUGGUUUGCUGGAGCACUGUAGAGGCGAGUGGAAUUCCGGGUGUAGCGGUGGAAUGCGUAGAGAUCCGGAAGAACACCGGUGGCGAAGGCGGCUCACUGGCCCGGUACUGACGCUGAGGUGCGAAAGCGUGGGGAGCAAACAGG